CACGGAGACACAGACACAGACACAGACGCACACCCAAUCUAGAGUAACCACAACAAACAAGAUAGGUGUUUGCGAGGGCAGGGUAGAACCUGCAUGGUGAUGGCUGAACAGGGGUAGUAGACGAGGGCAGUGGUGAAUGACAGACGACUGAUUACAGAUAAACACUGCAGGCACCACUGAUGCACUUCAUGCUGGCUUUAGCAGACAUCAUGGCUUUGAUAGUAUUCCUUGUGUGCGUUAUCAGACACUGGGGGUCGUCUAGUUGGAGAGUAUUUGUGUGUGUUUCUACAGUUAAUGAAGACAGGAGAGAGAGAAGCUCUAGGAUUAAGAGUAUAGCAGUAGAGGAUGAGGAACGUGUUAGUGUGUGCGCAUGUCUGUGUGUGUCUUUGUGUGUGUACCUGAGAUCCGGUACUCGCAGCUUCCUCUUGUUCCUCUUCCUCCUCGCCCACUUCUUCUAUGUCUUUGUCCUAAAACACACACGCACAAACACACAGUUAGUUAGGGAAACCAGUGCCGCUUGGUAAAAUCUUUAGUUGCCUUUUCUUGGGCUAGCAUGUAGAGAGAGAGAGAGAGAGAGAGAGAGAGAGAGAGAGAGAGACAAGAUGCCACUUUGAAAUAUAAAAAAUACCUAAUAGGCAGCCGGAACAGUUGACAAUACUGCUGUAUCACACCUGGGUGAAAAUGUAAAAUGAUAAAGCCAUGAUGGGCCCUGAGCUUGUAGCCAUGAGUUGGAUACACACAGGAGGUCUAAUGACAUGAAGAAUAGUUAGGUUAUCACACACUACUACUUAUAGAAUAUAAUGAUGAGUUUAGAGAGCGAGAGAGAGAGAGAGAGAGAGAGAGAGAGAGAGAGAGAGAGAGAGAGAGAGAGAGAGAGAGAGAGAGAGAGAGAGAGAGAGAGAGAGAAAAAGAAAAAGAGAGCUCGGGGAUACAGUCAUGUUUCACACAUGGGGUAAUUUAGCUUCCACACCUCAGAGGGGGGCAGAUAUAUCUCGUUUUGCUUUGUCUUUGCUUUGUGUCUCUGUUUG
ensembl:lncRNA